rnacentral:lncRNA from 1 species
AGUGCCUGGCACUGUGCAGCCACUGACACUCCCUGCGUGAGUGACCACGGGGACCAUGCUGUGAACAGUGCCGGGCAGAGUAAGUGGGUCUGCUGUGACAUCGGUCUUCCAAGGCUAGGGCUGCUGCGACUGACGAACCUGAGGUUUAAGCCCCUCGGCGACGGUCCCAGCCAGUGCCCUGGAGUAAGAGCGGACGUUCACUGAACAUGGCCAUGCCCAGAGGAUUCUAGAACUUCAAAGCGUGCAGCUCGGGCCUUUCCAUCCACAACCUCACCCUCU